rnacentral:lncRNA from 1 species
AUAAAAUCUUCAAAUUAAUGCUGCAAGAAACACCACUCAAUUAUUUCCCCAACUUUGAAACCACGAAUUUUGAAACUGAAGAGAAAAUAGUCUCAAAUUGCGUUUGAAUAUGGCUAUAAGCUGCGGCAAACAAGGAUUCUUGCUAUGGCCCGCUUUUCACACUAGAGAAUCCACCACAGCGUUUCCACCUCCACUAAGGUCUUUGUUCUUCUUUCUCUUAUCCCCGCAAUAAAAUGCGGCGUUUCGUUUCAUUGCUUUUGUUAAGUGUUCGUAGCAAACACAAACCAAAAACCUUCUCACGUUUCUGUAAUUUGGUUCAUUUCUUACAGCCUCUCACUUAAACUCCCACCGCAAUCACAUUCAAAAGUCAGGUAACAUACUUUUUUUUUAUUCUGAGAAAGAACUUGUGAUUGUUAUUAUAAUUCUAGAAUAGGGUAUAGUGAAAAGUAAGGUUAAACAAGUGUUAUUGUCAAAUUAAAAUCAAGCAUUUUUCUUGCUAGUGUUACUUGGUGAUAUAUAUGGUGAUGUUUAUUAAACAUGUAUGACAGUACUUCUAUUUUUGUUUGUAAAUGGCAACGUGUAUGCGUAGUUAAUAUGAAUUUCUUGGUGCUGUUUGUGUAUGAAUCCUGGCAUUUUGAAUUAAAUAAUUAGUUAAACAUGUAAUUUUAUUUUUGAUCCGUAGGAAUCAAAAAUAGUUACCGUGGACUUUACAACAACAUACGCACCUUCUUUAACCAACUGAGCUAGAUUGCCUUUUGGUAGUUACAUAUGUAACUGAUUAAGGCCCUGUUUGAAAGAGCUUAUUUACUGCUUAUUUGGACUUAUCUUAUACAUAAGCACUUGUGUAAGUGUUUGGUAUAACUUAUAAAAAUAGUUUUUGAUAUGUCCCUAAGUUGUUUACUUUUUUUCUACUUAUUUUAAUAAGCUCUUUAGGAUAGCUUAUGAAAACAACUUACAGCUUAUGUAAAAGUCGUUUAAUCCUAUUCCCCUUUUCGAUGAUAAAAACAACUUACAAUACAUAAGUGAUUAUAUACUUUAAUUAAGUUGUUUAUCCAAACAGGCCCUAAAUGCUUGGAAACUUACUAAAGAGUGUUUUUGCUGGUCAUAGUGGUAAUAUUUUCAUGUGUCACUUGAUGGACUUCAUGUAUUUUCAGAUUGAUUUGUUUUAAAUUGUGUACAAGUGCAGGAGGGUUGUUAAAAUGUCUGCAACUGAAGUCACAAGCUCUAGGAUAUCAUACGAGUCCUUUGCAAUAAAGCCUCCUGAGCACCCAACUUAUGAUUUGAAGGGCAUUAUCAAGCUAGCACUUGAAGAAGAUGCUGGGGAUCGAGGUUUAUUUCUGAACGUUUUCUUAAGUUUCUUGCACUAGCUGCCAUGUUUCUUCCUGAGUUUUAAAUUUAUAAUUCACACUCAUGAGUUGUUAAUGUUAUCUUCACUGUUUAUUAUAAUCAAGUGUAAAUUCUUUUAUGCCAUCGGGCUUUCGCAAAUAGCUAAUGCUGAUACAUACUGUUAUUUGGUAGUUAUCAUGACAUUGGGUAUCGAUGUUGUUUUGAUUGUAGGUGAUGUAACAUGCUUGGCCACCAUUCCAUUUGACAUGGAAGUGGAAGCUUAUUUUUUGGCAAAGGAGGAUGGCAUCAUUGCUGGAAUAGCUCUUGCAGAGAUGAUAUUUCAUGAGGUUGAUCCUUCUCUGAAGGUAUGAAAGCAAUAUGCAGAUGGUCUAUCAUUAUAUUUGUGGUUGGUGCUUGGCUGAAUUAUUGUAGGAUUACUUUCAACUAUCAGGUGGAGUGGAGUAAAAAUGAUGGAGAUUUUGUCCAUAAAGGGCUACAGUUUGGAAGAGUUCGUGGUAAGGUCAUUAUUAGGAAAACAUAAUUACAAAAGCAAGUGGCUUCAUUUGUAAUUAAUUUCAUGAAUGACUUCUAUUGAUCGUGCAGGACGGGCUCAUAACAUUGUUGUAGCUGAAAGAGUUGUGCUAAACUUUAUGCAGAGGAUGAGUGGCAUUGCAACUUUAACUAAGGUAAUCUGUUGUUUACUAAAAUAUUUUCUUUUUGUUGAAUUUUUUGUAAUAUGCUUAACUACCUAACAGUUUGUGAUUAUUGAACUUAGUUAGCUAACAUUAUAUGCUGUUUUAAAGAUCUCUGUAAGGCUAUUGAAAAUAUUUGAUGUCAAUUAUUGACAAAGUUGGGAUUAUUGGAUCACAAUUGCAAAAUGGCUGAAUUGGUUAGAUUUAAGAUGAUUUACUUGGGUUUUUAGCUAUUUUGUCUAGAGCAUAGUUGUUAAUAUCAUGCUAUAGUGUUCAAUGGCUUGUCAUAGGUUCUUGCACAGUUGCACUAUGCUAAAUGUAUAGCAUGGCACUAUGCUACAUGUAUAGCAGCUGACUUUAAACAUAAUAGUCCAGAACUAUCUUGGGACGAGACAAGGUUUUCACUUGUUGGAGAUGAGUUCUUUUCAGUCUGGGAUAAUAAACACAAAUGAAUAAUUACUUAAAAAUUCUAUUAGCUGUUUUUGGUGCGUAGUUAUAGUUUUGAAUGGUAUUACAAAUAUCAGUUUGUCUGUUUGUUUUUCUUUUUUUAAGAUGUUAUUUUAAAUUAUAUGCAUUAUAGUUAGUGUUAUGAACUGCCUAUUGUGGCAAUGGCAAGUGCUAUAUUUGAGAGAACUAUGGUCUAGGAUAGUUUCCAUACUGUGUAGGCUUCUCAUAUAUCUUAACCCAAUUUUUUUGAAAAACUUUGCAAUUUGCAACAACAAUAAAGUAUUGUGCCACUAGGUAGAUUUGGCGUGCACUCCAACUUUGUUUUGUAUAUAUUCUUCCCCAAUCUUAGUUUUCCUGGUAUGUCAUCACGACAACAUGCUCAUCAAUGCUAAGCUUGGUUUGUGAUCUUGUUGGCUUUGCUGCCUGAUAUUCACUACCAUAUAGCAUUGCUGGUCUUGUCAUUUGGUAGACUUUUCUUUUGAGUUUGAUAGACACUUUGCAACCAUAGCUUACAGUUGAAGCAAAUCUAUAAAGUGAUAUGGUCUCGAUUACUUUCUGAUAGGAACUAGUUUUAAUAAUAACAGAAAUGAAGUGUUCUUUACACUAUAAGAGAAUGCUGGAUUCUGGAGUUCCAGCCUUAGGAAUAGAGAGACUCCUAGAGUGAGAAUUCCUGCCUUAGGAAUGGCGGCCAAUCUCACUCAAUACCUCCCUUUGCACAAAUUUUCUACCCACUCUUCACUCCCAUACUUCCGUUUUAUCUUCUCAUUCCAGUCCUUUCUUCCUACACUUGCCAUGUUACAGCCCUUUGCAUCCAAAUUCCCCAUCUACCCAUUACUCAUUGUGCUCAUCAAGGCUGAUAAUUUCACAAAUUGUUGAUGAUAAUAUGGCUUCUUACAAUGAUGUUUGUAAAUGUAAUGAAACAUAUCAAUGUCACAAAUAUGAAAAUAAGUUGACGUAUGUAAUCAGAUUGAAUGUAAAAGAUGGUAAUGUGUUACAUCUCACUUGACCCAAUAAUUAGUGAAACCUUUAUUAUCUUAUAAUUCUUGACUGUGUUAUAGAUUUCGUGCUUUCCCACAGGCAAUGGCAAAUGCAGCAUACCCUGCAUAUAUGUUGGAGACUAGAAAAACUGCUCCAGGUCUUCGUUUAGUGGAUAAGUGGGCGGUAUGGACUUUUGAUCACUUCCUUCCAAUAAUUAAUAACCAUUUAUACUUUUACACAUAAAGUUUACUCAAUAAACUAGUGUACAUGUGCUUUGAUAGGUAUUAAUUGGUGGAGGUCAGAACCAUAGGAUGGGUUUGUUUGAUAUGGUGAUGAUAAAAGAUAAUCAUAUAUCAGCAGCUGGAGGUGUUGCUGAUGCUCUUAAAGCUGUUGACCUGUAUCUGGAGCAAAAUAAUCUUCAAAUGGAGGUUGAGGUGGUGCUCUCUUUCAUUGUUCUACACAUUUCUUUUCUUUUUUUUCCAUUUUGAGGUCUUUUUGGUCUUUUCUCAACUUUGAAGUUCAUGAAAAUUGUGACGCCUGCCAGGUUCCAACUGUGACUUAUUAGCAGUUGCUGCUGUUUGCCACACAAUAAACUAAUAACUAUUUUGUGUAACAAAUGAUUUGUUGAUGCAGCAACAAGAUGAUAGGAACAGAUUUUACUGAUAAGUAAUAAUUCCUUACAAUAGGGAAAAUCCUCUUCACUGAAAAACAAAAAAAAGAAGAUAGAAAGAAAUACAUGUGGUUUGUUGAGGGUCUCCUUCCUGCCGCAGGGCCCUAAUUCCUUAUUGAAUUGAAUAAUUGACUGGUUGCCCUUCUCCUCCUUGCCUCCCUCUUAUCAUUUCCUUUACCAGAUUUCACACCUCCAUACCCUCCUUCCUUUCCUACCUGCCACAUGUGCAGUGGUGACAACUGAAAUUCACGUCCCUACUGCCCUAGUAACUUUAUCUGGUGUAAUGAUACUGAUAUGUUUUUAGUUAUCAAUGGAAACAACAAAAUAUCAGAAUGAGUGUGUUGAAAAGAGAAAGGCACGAAUGAAAUGAGAGUAAUGCUCCCCUAAGUCAGAGAAAGGUUCUCUGAGCUCCACUUUUUAUUCCAAAUCCAUCAUACCCCACCGCCAAACCCACAAUCCCAAUUAUAACAGAAAUAUUCCUCACCUUCUCUCUCCUCUAACUAACUCCCACUAACCCACAAUGCUCACUACAACUCUCAGGCCUUACUAUGUUUGGGCCUUCUAGAGUAUACCUUAAAGAGCCUAUCCCAUUUAGAAGCUAAUUUCCUAUCAAUACCACCCUCUAAAACAACUGCCUUGUCCUCAAGGCAGAAAUUGGGAAAUCUGUCUUUGAUUGGUGCUGUGUUCUCCCAUGUUGCUUCUACCACAGGUUGAGACUUCCAGAGGAUAAGCCACUCUUCGACAGAAUUUCUCAGGUGCUUGCCUUCGCCAAUGGCUAAAAUAUCCUCAGGUCUAGGGGUUUUAGGAUUAUCCACUGCCAAUCUGGGAGGCAAAAUGGUAACAGAAGAACCACUCUUCGCAGAGCAUUUGAGCUGAGAAACAUGAAAGACUAGAUGAAUUCUAGCCGCAUCUGGUAACUGCAACUUGUACGCCACCUCCCUGACAUGGGAAAGCACUUGACGACCUCUUUGAUGAAUACUCGCCAACUUCAUAAGUGACAUGACGAUGAUGAGCAUCCGCAUACUUCUUCAUCGUUUGCUGAGCACGGUGCAGAUGGAACUUCAACUGACGUAAGGCUUUGUCGCGAUCAAUCAACACUGAUGCGAUUGAAUCAACUUGGGUUUCCCCAAUCAGAUAACGAAGCACAGAAAGUGGAUUCCGACUAUAGACAAUCUCAAAGGGGGAACUUGCCCAUUGCAGAAUGGGAUGAAGUAUUGUAUCAAAAUUCUGCCCAAGAAAGCCACAGAUGCCAUUUGGUAGGUUUCUCAAAAGCAAAGCAGUGGAGGAAAGUUUCUAAGCAACGAUUUACCACAUCCGUUUGACUGUCGGUUUGGGAAUGGUAAGUAGUACUCAUCCUUAGCACAGUUCCUUGAAGGUGAAACAGUUCACUCCAAAAUUUGCUAAGGAACAAAGGAUCGUGGUCGCUGAUAAUAGACUUGGGAAAACCGUGUAACUUGACGACCUCUUUGAUGAAUACCUCUGCUACUGAACACGCUGUGUAGGGGUGCUUGAGGGAUAAAAAAUGUGCAUACUUGGACAAGCGGUCGAUCACCACCAGAAUUACGUCAUAUCCCUGAGAAUGUGGCAAGCUGGUGAUAAAAUCCAAAGAGAUAUCAUCCCAUACGAUUUCUGGGAUAGGAAUAUGUUGCAACAGCCCUGUUGGAGACAAGGCCUGGUACUUUUUACGUUGACAAACGUCACAUUGGUGGAUGUACUCCAUUAUAGUAGCUUUCAUUCCCUUCCAAAAGAAGCUGGAAGACAACUACUUGUAUGUCUUCAUGAAUCCCGAAUGGCCACUUGUAACCGUGUCGUGAAAUUCGGCCAUCAAAGUAGGGAUUAAAGAGGAGGUCUUAGGCAACAUCAAACGAUCUUUGUUAAAAAGUAAACCGUCGCGCAGAGUAUAGUGUUGCAGAGAAUCAGAAUCAGAUUGCAAUUGGGAGCUCAACUUGACCAAGCCAGGGUCAUUUUGCACUUUGUUCCUGACAGCAGGGAAAUCCACCCAAUAAGGACUAAUGGAGAUGGUGUUGAACUCAGUGGAAGGAAACUGACAGGAUAAGGUAUAAUCAGCCUUAUUCUCUGGACCAGAAUUAAAACAACCUCAAAUUGGAACCCCAUGAGUUUUGCCAACCAGCAUUGCUGAUCUGUGGUGGUGAGACGUUGUUGAAGGAGAUGCUUCAAACUCCUAUGAUCUGUAUAUACCUUGAAACUUCUACCCAAAAGGUAGUGUCACCAGUGUUGAAUGGACAAAGCCAAGGCCAUGAUCUCCUUCUCAUACACAGAUUUGGACAAAGUUCCCGCAGAUAGGGCCUUGCUGAAAUAGGCAAUAGGUUGGCAGUCCUGCAUCAAUACCGCUCCAAAUCCCUGGCCAGAAGCUUCACAAUCUAUGAAAAACUCUUUAGUGAAAUCAGGAAGAGUGAGAAUAGGAAAGGAGGACAAACACUAUUUGAGACAUUCAAAAGCCUUCACUUGAUUCUGUCCCCAAAAGAAACCCUCCUUUUUUGUAAGCAUAGUAAGGGGUUGGGCCAACUUACCAUAGUCUUUGAUAAAUUGAUGAUAGUAACCAGUUAGGCCGAGGAAACCACGAACCUCCUUGGCAUUUACUGGAACCGGCCAGUCCAACUCUGCCUUCACCUUAUCGGGAUCCAUCGCCACUCCCUGGGCAGAUAUUACAUGCCCUAAAUAGUCAAUGGAAGGCAAGCCGAAAGAGAACUUACACUCACAAGUUGAGUUCAUCGGAAGCAGAUUAAUAGAGUUGUCAUGGGCUCGUUGAGGUGGCAGCCCCUUUCUAGCAGUGAAGACAGAGGCAUGCUGAUCCAGCACAUGCUGCAAGUCCUGAGGCAUAUCGUUCGGGAUGAUCUGAUGUUCCAAGCAAAAGCAGGUAGUGUUCUCAGAGGCUAGGCACUGCAAAAGGCCCUAUAAGGCAGUAGAGUGAGAGGAAUCUUUGAUAUGAUGACCUUGCAAGGCGAUUAACUGGUCCUUGUCCUUGAAGCUCACAAUCUUUUUGUUCCAAUCCAUGUGGUUUGUCCUAAAGUUUUCAACCACUCAACCCCUAACACAAGAUCAACGCCCCCAAGAACACACAAGCGUUGACACCAUGAGAGGAACAUUUGUUGCCGUUGUCGAGGAUGACAUUGAACUCCUUCGUUGCUGUGACCUCCAAGUUCAGGGAACUCACCAGUUCUCAUGCAAUGAAAUUGUGACUAGCCCCACUGUCAACGAGGAGAAGAAUAGGAUAACUAGCCAACUCUCCUUCCAAUUUGAUGGUCUUCGAAUGUGCAAGGUCACUGGAUUGAGAGCGCAAUAGUCCAAAACGUGGCACACCAUGUCUUGAUUUUUUGAUUCUGGAGGAUUGUUGGUAAGAGUAGGAUUGUUGGACUGUUCGUUACCUUCCCAAAUGAGAAGGCAGAGAUGGCGGUCGAGGCACACAUGGGUUGGACUCCACUUGGAUCCACACUUGAAACAAAGAUAGGUGAUGCUAGGUGCACCCAGCAUUUUAUGUGAAUGGGUGAAAAUGUCCUUGACUUAAAAUUUAAAAGCUUUGUACACCCAGUGCACUGCUCACUUCAUUUGUACGAGCUUCUUCCUUUUACUUUUCCUCGCUGCACCGUUUGAGCUUCUUCUUCUUCUCCUCCUAGUGCCGUUUGGUUUGGUUGGAGGUUCGUUUGUCUCGCAUUGGGUGAUUCGUCGUCGGCAUUGAGCACUUGCAGCUUUGUUUUGGUCUUCCACCGUCGAGGUAAGCUUUGUGUCUCUGUUAAUGACUGCUGCGUUCUCGUAUUUCGAUUUUUGCAUUCGUACGGAUUAAGUUGAUCCUUAAGUGUUACAUGAGCUGUAUAACCUUUUUUAAUUAAAAAAAAUUAAAAAUAGGUAUUUAACUUUUGAAAAAUGUUUUUAAUUAGAUAUUUGAUUUGUGUGUGUUUUAAAAAAUAAUAUGUAUGAUUGCACGGUGUUAUGAAAUAGUUUUAAAUUUUAAUAGUAAAUAAAUGAAUUUUGUAGUUGUUUAUGUUUAAUUUAUUUGAAUGAAAAUAGUCAUGUGUUAUUUAAUUAUGUAGUUGUUAUUUUAUUUAUGUAUUUUGUGUUUUAAUUCUUUAUUCAUAUAUGGUGUUAUGAAAUAGUUUGAAAGGUUGUUAUUUUAUUUCAAUGAAAAAUAGUCAUAUAUAAGUUAAUUAUGUAGUUAUUUUAUUUAUGCAUUUCGUGUUUUAAUUAUGUAGUCAUAUAUGUUGAUAUGAAAUAGUUAUAAAUAGUGUUAUUUUAUUUCAAUGAAAAGUAGUAAUAUAUGUUAAAAAGCAAAAACCCUAUAUCAAUCUACAUACGCAUUAUUUCAAAUACACAUAUAAAAAAUAAUUUAUUUUUAAAAAUGUACAUACAAACAUAUUAAUAAUUUUAAAAAAUAAAACUUUAAACAAUUUUAAAAAAAAUCAAAAUCUGUAAACCAUAGGGAUCAAGUUGAUCCGUAUGGUUUAUACGGAUCAAGUCACACACUCACCCAACAACAUCGUGUACCUGGUGUACCUUCGACGACGAACCAACCACCGCAACAAUCACCACCGACCUGUAACACUUUCACCUCGAUCCAAGCGGCACCUCUCUCAACAAUAAAAAACCAACACGAAAGCAAAGAAAAAAGAAUGGAGGCGUAAAAGAAAAAAGCACAGAAACUAACUUAAAAAGGAAGAAGAAAGCAGGGACAUUUACGAAAUUAUUUUAAAUUGCUGGGUGCACCCAACAUUUUAAGUGAAUGGGCGAAAAUAUCCUUCACUCAAGUUGAUCCUCAUGAUCUGUAAGUAUAAU